AGCUGUCCUUAGUACGAGAGGACCGGGAUGGACGGACCGCUGGUGCAUCUGCUGGAUACCAAAUCCACGACAGAGUAGCCAAGUCCGGAUCGGAUAAACGCUGAAGGCAUCUAAGCGUGAAGCCGACUCCAAGAUGAGAUAUCCAAGAGGCUACGAGCCUCGGGAGACCCCCUGAAGAGUACAGGGUAGAUAGGAUGGAGGUAGAAGUGCAGUGAUGCAUGUAGCUGACCAUUACUAAUAGGUCGAGUGCUUGUCCAA
rnacentral:rRNA from 1 species